rnacentral:rRNA from 1 species
UACAGAGGUUGCAAGCGUUAAUCGGAAUUACUGGGCGUAAAGCGCGCGUAGGUGGCAAGUUAAGUCGGAUGUGCAAUCCCUGGGCUCAACCCAGGAACUGCAUCCGAGACUGGAAGGCUAGAGUACUGGAGAGGGUGGUGGAAUUCCUCGUGUAGCGGUGAAAUGCGUAGAGAUGAGGAGGAACACCAGUGGCGAAGGCGGCCACCUGGACAGUAACUGACGCUGAGGCGCGAAAGCGUGGGUAGCAAACAGG